UCAGAAAUAACUGUUGCUGGCUUUUCCGACACUGUAAAUAAAAAACGUGUUGAUGUACUACUUCCUGUCACUUCUACUAGCUCAGGCGAAAGACAUAUUGUCUCUGCAACUGAUGUAACAAAGGAACAUAAUUACAGCGUGAUAAGCAGAAAUAUGAAUAUGAAAAAAAAACAUUAGCUAAAGAUGUAAGAGUAUCCCUGGCUCACCAAAUUUUAUUAAGGUCAACCCAAACGAAAAUAAAAUAUUUGCGAUCUGAAAUCUGCCGUUUGCGCAAAGAAGGAAAGACAUUUAAAAGCUCGAUUAGCUAAUGCUGAGAAAAUGUCUAAAAUCAUUGCAUUUCAACUCCUUACAAAAAAUAUAAAGAGACCAGCACAAUUAUUCCUGAGCAUGCAACAACAAUCGCAGAAAAAACCCAAGGGGAGAAGAUUCACGACUGAAGAAAAAAAUUUAUCCCUGUCCCUUUUUAAAAAGAGCCCAAAAUGUUAUAGAGUCCUAAGUAGCUAUUUUACACUACCGUCAUCCAAAUCAAUGAAAAAACUUCUCAGUGAAAUAAAGAUCACGCCUGGUAUUAAUACCAUCAUAUCCGAAAGAAUUAAAAAAAACUAUGAGUGAAAAGGACACUAAUGAGCGAUUAUGUAUUUGACGAAAUGUCCAUCACUCCACAAAUAUUUUAUAAUUCAAAUAACGAUAUUUUAGAGGGAUUUACAAAUGAUCAAAAAACUUUCGCUAAUCACGCUCUUGUAUUUAUGGUCAAAGGCAUAGUGCAAAACUUUAAGCAACCUAUAGCUUAUUAUUUCACAAAUUCGCUAAAUAAAUUGGAAUUAAAAAACUUGAUAAAAACUGUAGUUGAACAUGCAUUACAGUCUGGGCUCCUAAUUGUUAAUACUGUUUGUGAUCAAAGCACAGUUAAUGUUGGAGCCAUUACCGAAUUGGUGAAUGACACUAAAUCUUUAUUUUUAAGAAAUGAUAAAGAGUGGAAGCAUGAUAUGUUUAGAGUUAAGGGACAAAACAUAAUUCCUUUAUAUGACAUUCCACAUUUAGUUAAAGGAAUUAGAAACAAUUUAUUAACAAAAGAUUUAACUUAUAUUAUUGAAAAUAAUAAAAAAACUAUAAAAUGGGAAUAUUUCCAAAGAGUUUACGAUGCUGAUAAGUCAUAUCGGAUAUAGGAUAGGAGAGCUUCGACUCCUACACAAAUUGACAGAAGAGCAUGUGAUGCCUGAAAAAAUUAACAAGAUGCGCGUUAAAUCUGCUACACAAUUGUUUAGCCAUAGUGUUGCUGUUGUAACCGAACAUUUAACUGCAAGAGGUGAUUUAAAUGAAGAAUGUCGUCAAUUAGUAGACUUCACACUGUUAAUGGAUAAUUUGUUCGAUAGUAUGAAUGUAAGUACUUUUGCUAUUCCAAACGGCAAAAUAUAUAAAGGCCCUGUAAAACAUAACUCUCCCCAUCAUAAACUCUGGCAAAACGCCAAAAAAAUAUUAAAAACUGUAAAAUACAUUAAAAAAGUAAAGGCUGGCAAUGAAAUCCAAUUAAUUGAAACAAUAGUUCCAUCUGUAACUAAUUUAAUAAAAACAAUCGAAGGGAUGGAAUUUAUUUGGAAACUUUUGUCUAGUAAAUUUAGAUUGGAUGCAAUGUUGACUAGGAACUUUAACCAAGAUCCUAUUGAAAAUUUCUUCGGGAAUAUUAGGAGUUAUGGAGCCAGGAAUAUUUCGCCAAAAACAAUGGCAUUCGAAGGAGCUUUCAAGGCUUUAUUUUUCUAAAUAAUUUUAGCUCUCCUCAUUCAAGGAGAGCAAACUGUGAGGAGGAUUCCAAUGAGUGUCUACAGACAUUGAAGUUUUUUUUUAAAGAAAAGGUUAGCACUCCUGAUGUUCCUGAACCAAGUAUUCAAUUUAACAAUGAAAUUUGCUCUGAGCAGAUAACUGAAAAUGACGCUGGUCAGACGAAUUUCACUUGUGGUAGUGUCGUCAAAAAAAUGUUGUCUAAUAAUGUUAAAAGUUGUCAACAUUGCAGACAAAAUUUAUUGGAUACAACAUUUACAAACAAAAAAAAUAACUUUAUAAAAGCCAAAGAAUACCAUCCCAAUAAGAAAUGGCUUUGCUAUCCUAAUGAUGGUACAGAAAAAUAUUUCAAAGAAAUACAAAGUAUUACUGAUACAACAAAACUUGCUGUCGAAGCAAUCGAAGUAUCUACGGCCGUACACUCAAUCCGCGUCAUGAGUUCAGAACAAGCUAACC